rnacentral:rRNA from 1 species
GAUAAACGCUGGCGGCGUGCCUAAUACAUGCAAGUCGAGCGAACGGACGAGAAGCUUGCUUCUCUGAUGUUAGCGGCGGACGGGUGAGUAACACGUGGAUAACCUACCUAUAAGACUGGGAUAACUUCGGGAAACCGGAGCUAAUACCAGAUAAUAUUUUGAACCGCAUGGUUCAAAAGUGAAAGACGGUCUUGCUGUCACUUAUAGAUGGAUCCGCGCUGCAUUAGCUAGUUGGUAAGGUAACGGCUUACCAAGGCAACGAUGCAUAGCCGACCUGAGAGGGUGAUCGGCCACACUGGAACUGAGACACGGUCCAGACUCCUACGGGAGGCAGCAGUAGGGAAUCUUCCGCAAUGGGCGAAAGCCUGACGGAGCAACGCCGCGUGAGUGAUGAAGGUCUUCGGAUCGUAAAACUCUGUUAUUAGGGAAGAACAUAUGUGUAAGUAACUGUGCACAUCUUGACGGUACCUAAUCAGAAAGCCACGGCUAACUACGUGCCAGCAGCCGCGGUAAUACGUAGGUGGCAAGCGUUAUCCGGAAUUAUUGGGCGUAAAGCGCGCGUAGGCGGUUUUUUAAGUCUGAUGUGAAAGCCCACGGCUCAACCGUGGAGGGUCAUUGGAAACUGGAAAACUUGAGUGCAGAAGAGGAAAGUGGAAUUCCAUGUGUAGCGGUGAAAUGCGCAGAGAUAUGGAGGAACACCAGUGGCGAAGGCGACUUUCUGGUCUGUAACUGACGCUGAUGUGCGAAAGCGUGGGGAUCAAACAGGAUUAGAUACCCUGGUAGUCCACGCCGUAAACGAUGAGUGCUAAGUGUUAGGGGGUUUCCGCCCCUUAGUGCUGCAGCUAACGCAUUAAGCACUCCGCCUGGGGAGUACGACCGCAAGGUUGAAACUCAAAGGAAUUGACGGGGACCCGCACAAGCGGUGGAGCAUGUGGUUUAAUUCGAAGCAACGCGAAGAACCUUACCAAAUCUUGACAUCCUUUGACAACUCUAGAGAUAGAGCCUUCCCCUUCGGGGGACAAAGUGACAGGUGGUGCAUGGUUGUCGUCAGCUCGUGUCGUGAGAUGUUGGGUUAAGUCCCGCAACGAGCGCAACCCUUAAGCUUAGUUGCCAUCAUUAAGUUGGGCACUCUAAGUUGACUGCCGGUGACAAACCGGAGGAAGGUGGGGAUGACGUCAAAUCAUCAUGCCCCUUAUGAUUUGGGCUACACACGUGCUACAAUGGACAAUACAAAGGGCAGCGAAACCGCGAGGUCAAGCAAAUCCCAUAAAGUUGUUCUCAGUUCGGAUUGUAGUCUGCAACUCGACUACAUGAAGCUGGAAUCGCUAGUAAUCGUAGAUCAGCAUGCUACGGUGAAUACGUUCCCGGGUCU